AGACGCUCCUUCCCACGUGUCCCGAUCCGCGCUAUGACCUCAUAGAGACGUCUGUCCCUUGUCCUGAUGGCUACAAUGAGAAAAAUUUCAAAAGCCCUAAGGAAAUGUGGGCUGAUCU
rnacentral:lncRNA from 1 species